CGCAGCCGCGGUAAUUCCAGCUCCAAUAGCGUAUAUUAAAGUUGUUGCAGUUAAAAAGCUCGUAGUUGAAUUUCGGGGUCAGUAGGUUGGUCAUGCCACUGGUAUGUACUGAUCUUACUGAUUCCUCCUUCCUGAUGAACCGUAAUGCCAUUAAUUUGGUGUUGCGGGGAGACUGGACUGUUACUUUGAAAAAAUUAGAGUGUUUAAAGCAAGCUAACGCUUGAAUACAUUAGCAUGGAAUAAUGAAAUAGGACGUUCGAUCCUAUUUUGUUGGUUUCUAGGAUAGACGUAAUGAUUAAUAGGGAUAGUUGGGGGCAUUAGUAUUCAAUUGUCAGAGGUGAAAUUCUUGGAUUUAUUGAAGACUAACUACUGCGAAAGCAUUUGCCAAGGAUGUUUUCAUUAAUCAAGAACGAAAGUUAGGGGAUCGAAGACGAUCAGAUACCGUCGUAGUCUUAACCAUAAACUAUGCCGACUAGGGAUCGGAUGAUGUUAAUUUUUUAAUGUACUCAUUCGGCGU
rnacentral:rRNA from 1 species